rnacentral:rRNA from 1 species
UAGGGAAUCUUCCACAAUGGACGCAAGUCUGAUGGAGCAACGCCGCGUGAGUGAAGAAGGUUUUCGGAUCGUAAAGCUCUGUUGUUGGUGAAGAAGGAUAGAGGUAGUAACUGGCCUUUAUUUGACGGUAAUCAACCAGAAAGUCACGGCUAACUACGUGCCAGCAGCCGCGGUAAUACGUAGGUGGCAAGCGUUGUCCGGAUUUAUUGGGCGUAAAGCGAGCGCAGGCGGAAGAAUAAGUCUGAUGUGAAAGCCCUCGGCUUAACCGAGGAACUGCAUCGGAAACUGUUUUUCUUGAGUGCAGAAGAGGAGAGUGGAAUUCCAUGUGUAGCGGUUGAAUGCGUAGAUAUAUGGAAGAACACCAGUGGCGAAGGCGACUCUCUGGUCUGCAACUGACGCUGAGGCUCGAAAGCAUGGGUAGCGAACAGG